rnacentral:lncRNA from 1 species
UUUUUUUUUUUUUCCCAGAGCUGAGGACCAAACCCAGGGCCUGCUCUACCACCGAGCUAAAUCCCCAACCCCUGGGGUGGUCUUAAACUACAUAUCUGAUUCUGUCUCCAGGUUGGUUACAGGAAAGUGGAGUUAGUGGUACACCCAGCUGGUCUGGUGGACAGUUGACUGUAUGCAGCUGGUCUGGUGGUAGAAAUUCUCCAACAUUUUGGUGAGCAAAGAGGAAAUCUUCUGUAGGAAGUCCAAAUGGGGAACUAAGGCAGUGGAUAGGAGUUCCUCAAGGCUUCUCCCAUCAGGUGAUUUCUUUUUUAAAAAAAUUAAUUAAUAUUCAUUAGUACACUGUAGUUGUCUUCAGAUGCACCAGAAAAGGGCAUCAGAUACCAUUACAGGUGGUUGUGAGCCACCAUGUGGUUGCUGGGAUUUGAACUCAGGACCUUUGAAAUAGCAGCCAGUGCUCUUAAGCGCUGAGCCAUCUCGCCAGCCCCCAGGUGAUUUCAUUUCAGCUGCAGACACGUUUCUGCACAGGUACAGUUCUUAAACUCUUAGAUAAGUCCCACUAUAGAGUUACAGGUUCCUUCACCACAAGUGAUAGGAUUUCAGGUUCGUACCCCCACACCGCCAUCUGAAUACUGCUAGGAUCAAGCCCUACUUCAUGUAUGCUAGGCAAGCUCUCUACAAAGUGAGCUAGUCUUAGUGUUUGGGGUGUGUGUGUGUGUAAGUGUAAGAGGUCUUGAACUCCUGCUUCAGCCUUCUGAGUGCUGGGAGAACAGACCUGUAAAACAGGUGUUUUCUACAUCUGUAGAAAAAAAGUGAUCCUCCUUGGUAAAUGCAUUUCUUCUUCUUUCUUAACCCGUCUCCCUGGGGAAUCAUGUCUCUUGAGUAUUACAUUAUCCUGACUAGGCAACAGUCAGCUGGAUACCAGCUUGUUUUACAUGAACUGUUAGUUUCCUUGACUUUUGGGGAGCGUUUUGGUCUCGUCAGCAGUCUCCCAGCAGGCGAGUACCGCCGCAGGUGUCUCCUCCCAUCCGUAUGUUCUGUGGAUUCUGACAAAGUGGCAUGCCUGUGCAGAGAGUUCAUAUCCAGGAUAUCCCUUCUGGAAAAUUGAGCAUCCAUGUAAUUGACUGAGUUGGUCUGUUUCCUGGCGCCAGAACAAAAUACCCAAGGCCAGGGACUAUAUAGAGAAAAGGGGCUUUUUUUUACCUUGCAGCUUGGAGGCUGGAAGUUGAAGGCUGAGUCACCGCUAAGGGCUUCAUGGUGGUGGACACCUGUGUGGGAAACAGGAAACCAGAGAAUGGGGAAGAUGCCAGGCUUGCCCUGAAAUCUACACAUUUUCACAGGCACUUGCCAAGUCCGUGAGAACUACCUUCAAUCUCUUUGAGACACCACUACCAACCGAGGGUCUUCCUCCCUGGAGGAGGUCCCACCCCUUUCCAACUGCUGACAACUCCAAUCCCACCAAACCUCUGAGCCAGAGCCCCGCUGCCACCACCACCUGGGAGGAGGCUGACCUUGUACUUCCACUUCCCAGAAGUGUCUCUGUGGGGCAGAUGAGUUAGAUUAGCCUGGCAGUUGUGCCCACAGGUGAGCUUCAGAAAGGGCCAUUCAUCUCCAGAAGCUAUAUGUGGAGUUUGGUUGGGCUAACGUUUUGGGUUAACGGUGUUGUUAGACAAGGACCUUGGGCACCAUAUUGGUUAUGGGAUGUGUGUAUGUGUGUGCGGGUGUGCCAGAGAGGGCAGUUUGGAUUGUAGUUCAUGAUAUCGAAGAGAUUCUUGGACAGAGUGAUGCCACGCUGGCUUCUGUCCUCAUGUGAGCCUGAUGUCAUUUGUGAGCCUGAUGUCACAGGAAGAGCUGACAGCCUGGCAUCUAAUUGGCCAUUUUUAUUUUCCACUGCUGUCCCAGGCUGUGCGUGGGGGGUGCUGCGCUUUGGCAAAGAUGCUUGCUACCGGGCUUGACAUGUGAGUGAGUCCUUGAAUCACACAGCGGGAGGAGUUUUUACACCUGGAUCUGCAGGCAGCAGGGAGAGAGAGACAUUGGGCUGGGGUUGAGGUCUGAAAUCCCAAAGCCCACUCCACCGUGACACUUUCCAACAAGGCCACACCUGUUUUGCCCAGGCCACACUUUCUAGUCCCUGUAAGUAGUGCUAAGGAUUCAAAGGUAUGAGUCUAUGGGGUCCAUUCCAUUUUGGCAGUGGGUGGGUGGAGACAGGGUUUCUUUGUAGUCCUGGCUGUCCCUGGAACUCACACAGUAAACUAGGCUGGCCUUGAACUCCACUUGAGAUCCACUUGCCUCUGCCUCCAGGGUGCUAGGAAUAAAAAGGAGGGCACUGCCACACUGGGUAACCUUUGUCUGCUCUUACAAGGCCUGGGUUUAAGGCUGUAGCAGCAACACACAGUGUGAAUGUGACUUGUUGGUGUCACACCUUUAAUCCACACGAUGGAGGCAAAGACAGUUGGAUCUCUGAGGGAGAUAUCAGUUUGGUCUAUGUAGAGCAUUCAUACUUGGAGAUUACAGAGCAGUGGACAGGGAAGGAAGUGGAAAGGUUGCUUGGAGCUCAGUAGCCAGGAGCGUCCGCCCUUCCUUGGGCACCAUCUCAUGAUGGUGAUGAUGGUGAUGGCUACCACAACGAUGAUGAUGAUGACGACGCUGGUGACAGUGACAGGUAGCUGAUGUGGCCCUGGUGGUGGUAGUGAUGACUCUUGACAGCUACCGUUCUUGUAAGCCCUGUAACACCAGCAGUCCUGUGCCAGCUCAUCCUGUUUCCCAGAGAACUUCUUUCACCCCUUCUGGUUAUUUCUCCUUUUAUUUAUCUUGGCACUUCAAAACGAAGGACUGGAACAACUGUACUGCCAUUUCUCCGUUUCCGCCUCUGGGAUCCGCAUUACACGGUUUUAUUGACUUCCAUACCGAAAUUGAGUUCACUGAUCCUUUCCUGACACUUGUACCUUUUCCAUGUGUAAUUCUGUUGGGAUUUGGUUAAAUUGAUACUUAAUAGUUACAUUCUCAUGACUAUUUUAACUGUUAAAUCAGGUUUGG